rnacentral:rRNA from 1 species
GAUGAACGCUAGCUACAGGCUUAACGCAUGCAAGUCGAGGGGCAGCAUGGUCUUAGCUUGCUAAGGCCGAUGGCGACCGGCGCACGGGUGAGUAACACGUAUCCAACCUGCCGUCUACUCUUGGACAGCCUUCUGAAAGGAAGAUUAAUACAAGAUGGCAUCAUGAGUCCACAUGUUCACAUGAUUAAAGGUAUUCCGGUAGACGAUGGGGAUGCGUUCCAUUAGAUAGUAGGCGGGGUAAUGGCCCACCUAGUCUUCGAUGGAUAGGGGUUCUGAGAGGAAGGUCCCCCACAUUGGAACUGAGACACGGUCCAAACUCCUACGGGAGGCAGCAGUGAGGAAUAUUGGUCAAUGGGCGAGAGCCUGAACCAGCCAAGUAGCGUGAAGGAUGACUGCCCUAUGGGUUGUAAACUUCUUUUAUAAAGGAAUAAAGUCGGGUAUGCAUACCCGUUUGCAUGUACUUUAUGAAUAAGGAUCGGCUAACUCCGUGCCAGCAGCCGCGGUAAUACGGAGGAUCCGAGCGUUAUCCGGAUUUAUUGGGUUUAAAGGGAGCGUAGAUGGAUGUUUAAGUCAGUUGUGAAAGUUUGCGGCUCAACCGUAAAAUUGCAGUUGAUACUGGAUAUCUUGAGUGCAGUUGAGGCAGGCGGAAUUCGUGGUGUAGCGGUGAAAUGCUUAGAUAUCACGAAGAACUCCGAUUGCGAAGGCAGCCUGCUAAGCUGCAACUGACAUUGAGGCUCGAAAGUGUGGGUAUCAAACAGGAUUAGAUACCCUGGUAGUCCACACGGUAAACGAUGAAUACUCGCUGUUUGCGAUAUACAGCAAGCGGCCAAGCGAAAGCGUUAAGUAUUCCACCUGGGGAGUACGCCGGCAACGGUGAAACUCAAAGGAAUUGACGGGGGCCCGCACAAGCGGAGGAACAUGUGGUUUAAUUCGAUGAUACGCGAGGAACCUUACCCGGGCUUAAAUUGCAGAUGAAUUACGGUGAAAGCCGUAAGCCGCAAGGCAUCUGUGAAGGUGCUGCAUGGUUGUCGUCAGCUCGUGCCGUGAGGUGUCGGCUUAAGUGCCAUAACGAGCGCAACCCUUGUUGUCAGUUACUAACAGGUUCCGCUGAGGACUCUGACAAGACUGCCAUCGUAAGAUGUGAGGAAGGUGGGGAUGACGUCAAAUCAGCACGGCCCUUACGUCCGGGGCUACACACGUGUUACAAUGGGGGGUACAGAGGGCCGCUACCACGCGAGUGGAUGCCAAUCCCAAAAACCUCUCUCAGUUCGGACUGGAGUCUGCAACCCGACUCCACGAAGCUGGAUUCGCUAGUAAUCGCGCAUCAGCCACGGCGCGGUGAAUACGUUCCCGGGCCU